GUCGUAUCACGUUGAGACACCGGUUCUUGUACGAUCACCGAAGUUAAGUAAAAUCGAGCCCGGUCAGUACCUAGAUGGGUGACCUCAUGGAAAUACCACGUACUGUAU